rnacentral:rRNA from 1 species
GACAGAGGGUGCAAACGUUGUUCGGAAUUACUGGGCGUAAAGCGUGCGCAGGCGGCCCUUGCAAGUCGGGCGUGAAAUCCCACGGCUCAACCGUGGAAGUGCACUCGAAACUGCAGGGCUAGAGUCCUGGAGAGGAAGGUGGAAUGCUUGGUGUAGAGGUGAAAUUCGUAGAUAUCAAGCGGAACACCGGUGGCGAAGGCGGCCUUCUGGACAGUGACUGACGCUGAGACGGCGAAAGCGUGGGGAGCAAACAGG